CCUACGGGAGGCAGCAGUAAGGAAUAUUGGUCAAUGGACGCAAGUCUGAACCAGCCAUGCCGCGUGAAGGAUUAAGGUCCUCUGGAUUGUAAACUUCUUUUAUUUGGGACGAAAAAGGGCCUUUCUAGGUCAACUGACGGUACCAGAUGAAUAAGCACCGGCUAACUCCGUGCCAGCAGCCGCGGUAAUACGGAGGGUGCAAGCGUUAUCCGGAUUCACUGGGUUUAAAGGGUGCGUAGGCGGGUAGGUAAGUCAGUGGUGAAAUCCUAGAGCUUAACUCUAGAACUGCCAUUGAUACUAUCUAUCUUGAAUAUUGUGGAGGUAAGCGGAAUAUGUCAUGUAGCGGUGAAAUGCUUAGAUAUGACAUAGAACACCUAUUGCGAAGGCAGCUUACUACGCAUAUAUUGACGCUGAGGCACGAAAGCGUGGGGAUCAAACAGGAUUAGAUACCCUGGUAGUCCACGCCCUAAACUAUGAUUACUCGACAUUUGAGAUACACAUUAAGUGUCUGAGCGAAAGCAUUAAGUAAUCCACCUGGAAGUACGUCCGCAAGGAUGAAACUCAAAUGAAAUUGACGG
rnacentral:rRNA from 1 species